rnacentral:ncRNA from 2 species
GGUCAUGAGUGCCAGCAGAUAGCCCCGGCUUGCUGGCCGGCAACCCUCCAACCGCGGUGGGGUGCCCCGGGUGAGGACCUGGCCGUGCGCGAGGUGCGCUCGGCAAGCGCGGGCC